ACGUAAUAGAUACUCGGGUAGUCCUAGCAGUAAACGAUGACCACUAGGUGUGGGGGGUGUUGACCCCUUCCGUGCCGAAAGCCAAACGCAUUAAGUGGUCCGCCUGGGGAGUACGGUCGCAAGACUAAAACUCAAAGGAAUUGACGGGGACCCGCACAAGCAGCGGAGCGUGUGGUUUAAUUCGAUGCAACGCGAAGAACCUUACCUGGGCUUGACAUGCAAUCGCAACACUCUGAAAGGAGUGCCUCCUUCGGGACGGUUGCACAGAUGCUGCAUGGCUGUCGUCAGCUCGUGUCGUGAGAUGUUGGGUUAAGUCCCGCAACGAGCGCAACCCUCGUCUUUAGUUGAAAAUCUAAAGAGACUGCCGGAAACAAACCGGAGGAAGGUGGGGAUGAUGUCAAGUCAGCAUGGCUCUUACGUCCAGGGCUACACACACGCUACAAUGGUCGUUACAGCGAGAAGCGACACUGCGAAGUGAAGCAGAUCUCUAAAAGGCGGCCUCAGUUCAGAUUGCACUCUGCAACCC
rnacentral:rRNA from 1 species